rnacentral:rRNA from 1 species
GCAAGUCGAGGGGCAUCAGGAAGAAAGCUUGCUUUCUUUGCUGGCGACCGGCGCACGGGUGAGUAACACGUAUCCAACCUGCCCUUUACUCGGGGAUAGCCUUUCGAAAGAAAGAUUAAUACCCGAUAGCAUAAUGAUUCCGCAUGGUUUCAUUAUUAAAGGAUUCCGGUAAAGGAUGGGGAUGCGUUCCAUUAGGUUGUUGGUGAGGUAACGGCCCACCAAGCCUUCGAUGGAUAGGGGUUCUGAGAGGAAGGUCCCCCACAUUGGAACUGAGACACGGUCCAAACUCCUACGGGAGGCAGCAGUGAGGAAUAUUGGUCAAUGGGCGUUAGCCUGAACCAGCCAAGUAGCGUGAAGGAUGAAGGCUCUAUGGGUCGUAAACUUCUUUUAUAUAAGAAUAAAGUGCAGUAUGUAUACUGUUUUGUAUGUAUUAUAUGAAUAAGGAUCGGCUAACUC